rnacentral:rRNA from 1 species
GACGAACGCUGGCGGCGUGCUUAACACAUGCAAGUCGAACGGAAAGGCCCUGCUUUUGUGGGUAUCUCGUGUGGCGCACGGGUGUGUAACACGUGAGUAACCUGCCCUUGACUUUGGUAUAACUUCAGGAAACUGGGGCUAAUACCGGAUAUGAGCUCCUGCUGCAUGGUGGGGGUUGGAAAGUUUCGGCGGUUGGGGAUGGACUCGCGGCUUGUCAGCUUGUUGGUGGGGUAGCGGCUUACCAAGGCUUUGACGGGUAGCCGGCCUGAGAGGGUGACCGGCCAGAUUGGGACUGAGAUACGGCCCAGACUCCUACGGGAGGCAGCAGUGGGGAAUAUUGCACAAUGGGCGGAAGCCUGAUGCAGCAACGCCGCGUGCGGGAUGAAGGCCUUCGGGUUGUAAACCGCUUUCGCCUGUGACGAAGCGUGAGUGACGGUAAUGGGUAAAGAAGCACCGGCUAAUUACGUG